AAGUCGUAACAAGGUUACCGUAGGUGAACCUGCGGAAGGAUCAUUAGCGAGCUUUCAGGCUGAAAAAUGCCUAAGUUCCACACUAUGUUUUAAGCUGAAGACCGUCAAAGUCUGAAGCGAACACAUUUUUUUAUUCCACGAAUAAAUCAAAACUUUCAACAACGGAUCUCUUGGUUCUG
rnacentral:misc_RNA from 1 species